UACGUAGGGACCAAGCGUUGUCCGGAAUCAUUGGGCGUAAAGCGCGCGUAGGCGGCCCGGUAAGUCCGUUGUAAAAGUCAAAGGCUCAACCUUUGAAUGCCGAUGGAUACUGCCGGGCUAGAGUCCGGAAGAGGCGAGUAGAAUUCCUGGUGUAGCGGUGGAAUGCGCAGAUAUCAGGAGGAAUACCCAUAGCGAAGGCAGCUCGCUGGGACGGUACUGACGCUAAGGCGCGAAAGCGUGGGGAGCGAACAGG
rnacentral:rRNA from 1 species